AUGAUGUGCUUUAAUGUAACCAUUUUACUAGCAGAUCUUCCACAAGCAAACAGAAGACACAUGUCCGUCUUUUGCGUACAAAAAGUAGACAAAUGUCACCACUGCGUGUCGCUGCAUCAUGUUGCUCUGGGAUCGUUUGCUUCGCCUGCCUUAAAAUGGGUAAGACGAUUGUCGAUUAAAUUGAUCAGAAAAACACUGUAACCGGUCGUAACUGCCGAGUAGAGGCGAGAUAUCUAAAUAGGCUAAAUCGUUUCACGUAGUUUGCGAGAUAAAAAAAAGUACAGUCAAAGCCAAUGUUCAUGACUGGCAAAACAAGUCCCACUGGUUGCUCUAACUAGAUACAUAGAGACUUUCCCAAACGUAAGGUAGCUUGUUGACAUCCUAAUGUGAUGGUAACAUGAUACACCAACAUGACUUGAUUGCCUGAAUUAAAGAUAAAUAAUUGAUCCAUGAGAGCUGCCAACUUAAACAAAAAAAAGUUAUUACCCUAAAACUAUAAGCCAUUCCUUAAAUACAUAUUUAGAAUAUGUAUUAUAAGCAAAAUGAGAAUCUAAGACAUACAAUUGUGCAUGUUAAAAUAUAGGGCAAAAAUAAAACAUCAAUAGACUCAAACAAGUCGCAACAGCAGAAGACAAACUGUGUGGGGAUGUCUUGACAGACUAAUCUUAGAGCUGCAAUUGACAGCUCAUAGACCUUUUUCACAGCAGCUACGUUGACAUGUCACAACAGAUUGACAUUCAUUCGUUUUGCCAAUUCCAGAUCCCUUGCAUUGUACAUGCUGACUUACUGGAGCCCUAAAAUAGAACUGAGCCAUCUUUAAUGUAAUUAGUAACACCUGUGUCUCUGCAAGUCAAAAUGUCGUCUGUGAAAAAGGUCAAAAUAGCACUAGUUAAGGUAAACAUUUGAAUGCAUACAGCAACACAUAAUGUACAGAAGAAUAAAAUAAAUAAAAUACAAGAAACAAGAAACAAGAAAAAAGAAAAGAGAAAGAAUUUCACAUAGACUGUAGAUAAAGAGGUGUGACCUGAUGUGUCUCUGAAAAGUAAACAUUUGAUUACGAUAUUAUUUGAAGUGUUAAUAAUCCUGUUCAGUGUUUACAGUUGGUUCAGUUUUUGUCAGCAGGGUAAACAUUUAUUCUCUUUAACACUAAAUAAACGUAUAUAUCUUAUACUUAUAUAAGUAUAACUAUGUGUGUAUUUUGCCUCUCCUUUAGUUCUGUAACCAGUAUAACUUUGGAUACCUGAGAUUGGCCUAAAGCCAAUGCUUGUAUUCUGCACACCACCGCCAACCUUUUAAUAUGCUAUUAUUCUAUGCAAUUGUCCAUCAAUGAUUCUUUAUUUAAAGGAUCCCUAUUAGUUGAUGCCAUGGCACCCAAGUAAACGUCCUAGGGUCCUUUUAUAUAUGUAUUCCUUUAAUUAAGGUAAUUUGAACAAUCUGGUACAAUAUGAUGUUUCUGGCCUAAGAGAAGCCAUGCACACAGAAC
rnacentral:lncRNA from 1 species